AUGUGUGCGCAUCCUCUCUGGCCUAGGGAGCUGCUCUCUGACCUCCAUCAGCACCUGGGUCUUCGAGGUAUUGAGGGGGGCAUAGUUGCAGAAUCUUUCCGAUGGAGAACCCCGUCGAACUCCGCGGUCCGGACUUCUCUGUCUACAUACCCGGGGAGGAGUAUGGACAUGCUUGUGCCUGGAGGAGUUCGAGAAUGUGGCCGAGCUUCUCUCGACCCUUUU
rnacentral:lncRNA from 1 species